GUGCCUGUAGCUCAACUGGCAGAGCACUUGACUGUGGAUCAAGUGGUUGUGGGUUCAAAUCCCAUCAGGCACCCA
rnacentral:tRNA from 1 species